rnacentral:lncRNA from 1 species
CGAAGACGAACAGAAUGCAGAGCACGAUUAUGAACCGAUAAAAAAGAGAGGUGGACAAGAGAGAAACACUGUCACUCACUGUCACUCAGCAGAAGCAGUUCUGAAUAACACCCUACUAGUAAAGACCAGUAAAGAUGUGGGUCCAUGUUUACAUGCUCUGUUCAAUGCUUCACUUCUCUGCAGCUUGUAUCCUACAGGACAACUUCAUGUCUGAGAAUGUUGCAGAAAAAGUUGGGGGUACUGUGAGGUUGCAGUGCCAAUGCACCAGCUUGACAGAGAAGCCCAGUUUUGUCAUGUGGUUCUAUAAGAGCAGCAGCACCUCUGAAAGCGAAUCCAAAGUGGCUCUCACCGACGAGUCGGGAGUACUGCCACGCUACACGACUAAGUUGAAGCUGUCCAAAGCCAGAGGUGCAGGUGACCUCUCCUUAGUAAUUUCAGAUCUUACUGAAGAGGACAAGGGCUGGUACCUGUGUGUCACUGAUGGCUACAAUGCUCACCGAUCCUACACUCUCACUGUGGAAGAUCCAUCAAAACGGCGUUUGACCACACCCAUUGCACCUAUUGUCACCACUCCUGAAGAAAUACUAUCUAUGGUGCCAGUGAAGUGCUCAUGAUCUGAAAUGAGGAACUAUGACCCAUGCUGUCCAGCGUUCUCUCCUUUGUAUUCUUUGUAUUUGGGAAUAAAAGAUAC